GGGCCCUCUCUGAGCUGAUUGUUGCCUUCUCUCGUGAAGGUCCAAUAAAAGAAUACGUGCAGAAUAAGAUGUCUGAGAAGGCCUCGGAGAUCUGGAAUGUCAUCUCCAAGGGUGGUUACAUAUAUGUUUGUGGUGAUGCCAAAGGCAUGGCGAAAGAUGUUCACAGAGUUCUUCAUACAAUUGUUCAAGAGCAGGGAUCUCUAGAUAGCUCGAAGACCGAGAGCUUGGUGAAGAGCCUGCAAAUUACAGGGCGUUACCUACGCGAUGUUUGGUGAGUUCGACUGACUUCUAAAGGAAAGAGCUCAAUGUUGCAUAAACAUAUACCAAGUAUCCUGGAGCCUCGGGCAGGUGGGCGCAUAAUUUGUUAUUAAUAUAUUUAUUGUGUAAUUUUUUUGACUGUCCGACUAGGUUUUAGUCUCUGUAAUAUACUUAUAAGCAGGCGGAUUUAUUUGUUAGGAGA
rnacentral:misc_RNA from 1 species